rnacentral:rRNA from 1 species
GUAGGGAAUCUUCCACAAUGGACGAAAGUCUGAUGGAGCAACUCCGCGUGAGUGAAGAAGGUCUUCGGAUCGUAAAACUCUGUUGUUAGAGAAGAACGUGCAUAAUAGUAACUGAUCAUGUAAUGACGGUAUCUAACCAGAAAGCCACGGCUAACUACGUGCCAGCAGCCGCGGUAAUACGUAGGUGGCAAGCGUUGUCCGGAUUUAUUGGGCGUAAAGGGAACGCAGGCGGUUUUUUAAGUCUGAUGUGAAAGCCUUCGGCUUAACCGAAGAAUAGCAUUGGAAACUGGAAGACUUGAGUGCAGAAGAGGAGGGUGGAAUUCCAUGUGUAGCGGUGAAAUGCGUAGAUAUAUGGAGGAACACCAGUGGCGAAAGCGGCUCUCUGGUCUGUAACUGACGCUGAGGUUCGAAAGCGUGGGUAGCAAACAGGAUUAGAAACCCGAGUAGUCC